GCUUAACACAUGCAAGUCGAGGGGUAACGACUCCGUCUUCGGAUGGAGGUCGACGACCGGCGCACGGGUGAGUAACGCGUAUGCAACCUACCUUUUACAGGAGGAUAGCCCAGAGAAAUUUGGAUUAAUACUCCAUAGUACUAAUGAAUCACCUGGUUUAUUAGUUAAAACUCCGGUGGUAAAAGAUGGGCAUGCGUGUCAUUAGCUAGUUGGUAAGGUAACGGCUUACCAAGGCGAAGAUGACUAGGGGUUCUGAGAGGAAGAUCCCCCACACUGGUACUGAGACACGGACCAGACUCCUACGGGAGGCAGCAGUGAGGAAUAUUGGUCAAUGGGUGAGAGCCUGAACCAGCCAUGCCGCGUGAAGGAGGACUGCCCUAUGGGUUGUAAACUUCUUUUCUGCAGGAAGAAAUCACUCUACGUGUAGGGUGUUGCCGGUACUGCAGGAAUAACCAUCGGCUAACUCCGUGCCAGCAGCCGCGGUAAUACGGAGGAUGCAAGCGUUAUCCGGAUUCAUUGGGUUUAACGGGUGCGUAAGCGGGCUUGUAAGUACAGUGGUGAAAUGCUGUGGCUUAACCAUAGAAUUGCCAUUGAAACUGCAAGUCUUGAGUACAGUUGAGGUGGCCGGAAUGAGUAAUGUAGCGGUGAAAUGCAUAGAUAUUACUCAGAACUCCGAUUGCGUAGGCAGCUUGCUAAACUGUAACUGACGCUGAUGCACGAAAGCGUGGGGAGCGAACAGGAUUAGAUACCCUGGUAGUCCACGCUGUAAACGAUGAGCACUGGUUGUUGGCAGUACACCGUCAGCGACUGAGCGAAAGUAUUAAGUGCUCCACCUGGGGAGUACGUCGGCAACGAUGAAACUCAAAGGAAUUGACGGGGGCCCGCACAAGCGGAGGAACAUGUGGUUUAAUUCGAUGAUACGCGAGGAACCUUACCUGGGCUUAAAUGUAGAGUGCAUUGUUUGGAAACAAACAUUUUCUUCGGAACUCUUUACAAGGUGCUGCAUGGUUGUCGUCAGCUCGUGCCGUGAGGUGUCGGGUUAAGUCCCAUAACGAGCGCAACCCCUAUUGUUAGUUACCAGCACGUAAUGGUGGGGACUCUAGCAAGACUGCCGGUGUAAACCGUGAGGAAGGUGGGGAUGACGUCAAAUCAGCACGGCCCUUAUGUCCAGGGCUACACACGUGUUACAAUGGCAAGUACAAAGAGCAGCCACCUGGCGACAGGGCGCUAAUCUCAAAAGCUUGCCUCAGUUCGGAUCGAAGUCUGCAACUCGACUUCGUGAAGGUGGAUUCGCUAGUAAUCGCGCAUCAGCCAUGGCGCGGUGAAUACGUUCCCGGGCCUUGUACACACCGCCCGUCAAGCCAUGGAAGCCGGGGGUACCUGAAGUCCGUAACC
rnacentral:rRNA from 1 species